GUCUCCUGAAGGAACGUUAAAGACGAUGACGUUGAUAGGUCGGGUGUGUAAGCGUAGCGAUACGUUGAGCUAACCGAUACUAAUGAACCGUGAGGCUUAACCUU
rnacentral:rRNA from 1 species